AACAGAAAGAAAGAGAAAGAAAGAAAAAAGGACAUAAAAAAUGUUAGUGGUUGUUUUUGAUUUGGACGAAAGGAGUUUGUAUGGGAUUGUCGGUUCUACGACUUCGUCAUUUUUUUCUGAUUUUUUUUUC
rnacentral:ribozyme from 13 species